rnacentral:rRNA from 1 species
UGGGGAAUUUUGGACAAUGGGCGAAAGCCUGAUCCAGCAAUGCCGCGUGUGUGAAGAAGGCCUUCGGGUUGUAAAGCACUUUUGUCCGGAAAGAAAUCCUUGGCUCUAAUACAGUCGGGGGAUGACGGUACCGGAAGAAUAAGCACCGGCUAACUACGUGCCAGCAGCCGCGGUAAUACGUAGGGUGCAAGCGUUAAUCGGAAUUACUGGGCGUAAAGCGUGCGCAGGCGGUUUGCUAAGACCGAUGUGAAAUCCCCGGGCUCAACCUGGGAACUGCAUUGGUGACUGGCAGGCUAGAGUAUAGCAGAGGGGGGUAGAAUUCCACGUGUAGCAGUGAAAUGCGUAGAGAUGUGGAGGAAUACCGAUGGCGAAGGCAGCCCCCUGGCAAGUACUGACGCUCAUGCACGAAAAGCGUGGGGGAGCAAACAGGAUUAGAUACCCCUGGUAGUCCACGCCCUAAAACGAUGUCAACUAGUUGUUGGGGAUUCAUUUCCUUAGUAACGUAGCUAACGCGUGAAGUUGACCGCCUGGGGAGUACGGUCGCAAGAUUAAAACUUAAAUGAAUUGACGGGGGU